UUCGUGGUCAAGUGGUAAAGACACUUGCCACUCAUUCUGCAGUCCUGGGUUCGAUCCCCGGUCUAGGAUCUAAA